AGCUGAGGAUGUUAUACAGAGAAAGCCUGUUUUGAAAUCACUAACCCAGCACCUGUGGUUUAUCGCGUUAUCUGAGCAGUGUAAUACCAGGAACAGCUGGGAAGGGUCCAAACCAAGAACACAAUGGUAUCCUAAUAAUACUGAUCGUCACACUCCAUCUACGUCAGUCUCAAUCCUCAGAGCAGGGUGCUGGGGAGAUGGCUUGGUGGUUGAAACUCUUGCUUGUAAGGAUCCUCAGAAUCCACAGGAAUGCCAGC
rnacentral:lncRNA from 1 species